GAUGAACGCUGGCGGCGUGCUUAACACAUGCAAGUCGAACGAUGAAAGCGGGAGCUUGCUCCUGCUGGAUUAGUGGCGAACGGGUGAGUAACACGUGAGCAAUCUGCCCCGAACUCUGGGAUAAGCGUUGGAAACGACGUCUAAUACCGGAUACGACGCGCGAAGGCAUCUUCUGCGCGUGGAAAGUACUUCGGUUCGGGAUGAGCUCGCGGCCUAUCAGCUAGUUGGUGAGGUAACGGCCCACCAAGGCGACGACGGGUAGCCGGCCUGAGAGGGUGACCGGCCACACUGGGACUGAGACACGGCCCAGACUCCUACGGGAGGCAGCAGUGGGGAAUAUUGCACAAUGGGCGCAAGCCUGAUGCAGCAACGCCGCGUGAGGGACGACGGCCUUCGGGUUGUAAACCUCUUUUAGUAGGGAAGAAGCGAAAGUGACGGUACCUGCAGAAAAAGCACCGGCUAACUACGUGCCAGCCGCCGCGGUAAGAC
rnacentral:rRNA from 1 species